rnacentral:rRNA from 1 species
GACGAACGCUGGCGGCGUGCUUAACACAUGCAAGUCGAACGGAAAGGCCUCUUUCGGGGGGUACUCGAGUGGCGAACGGGUGAGUAACACGCGAGUAACCUGCCCUUGACUUUGGGAUAACUUCAGGAAACUGGGGCUAAUACCGGAUAGGAGCUCCUGCUGCAUGGUGGGGGUUGGAAAGUUUCGGCGGUUGGGGAUGGACUCGCGGCUUAUCAGCUUGUUGGUGGGGUAGUGGCUUACCAAGGCUUUGUCGGGUAGCCGGCCUGGGAGGGUGACCGGCCACAUUGGGACUGGGAUACGGCCCAGACUCCUACGGGAGGCAGCAGUGGGGAAUAUUGCACAAUGGGUGGGAGCCUGAUGCAGCAACGCCGUGUGCGGGAUGACGGCCUUCGGGUUGUAAACCGCUUUCGCUCAUGACGAAGCUUUGUGUGACGGUAGUGGGUAAAGAAGCACCGGCUAACUACGUG